UACGGGGGGGGCAAGCGUUGUUCGGAUUUACUGGGCGUAAAGGGCUCGUAGGCGGCCAACUAAGUCAUACGUGAAAUCCCUCGGCUUAACCGGGGAACUGCGUCUGAUACUGGAUGGCUUGAGAUUGGGAGAGGGAUGCGGAAUUCCAGGUGUAGCGGUGAAAUGCGUAGAUAUCUGGAGGAACACCGGUGGCGAAGGCGGCGAGCUGGUCCGAUACUGACGCUGAGGCGCGAAAGCGUGGGGAGCAAACAGG
rnacentral:rRNA from 1 species